UGGGAUAUAAUCUCCUGUUGUGCUGUUU
rnacentral:piRNA from 1 species